rnacentral:rRNA from 1 species
AACGAACGCUGGCGGCAGGCUUAACACAUGCAAGUCGAACGCUUCACCCUCGGGUGGAGAGUGGCAGACGGGUGAGUAACACGUGGGAACGUACCCUUUGGUUCGGAAUAACUCAGGGAAACUUGAGCUAAUACCGGAUACGCCCUUAUGGGGGAAGGUUUACUGCCGAAGGAUCGGCCCGCGUCCGAUUAGCUUGUUGGUGAGGUAAUGGCUCACCAAGGCAUCGAUCGGUAGCUGGUCUGAGAGGAUGGCCAGCCACAUUGGGACUGAGACACGGCCCAAACUCCUACGGGAGGCAGCAGUGGGGAAUAUUGGACAAUGGGCGCAAGCCUGAUCCAGCCAUGCCGCGUGAGUGAUGAAGGCCUUAGGGUUGUAAAGCUCUUUUACCUGGGAAGAUCAUGACGGUACCAGGAGAAUAAGCCCCGGCUAACUUCGUGCCAGCCGCCGCGGUAAC